rnacentral:lncRNA from 1 species
GUGUUCCCUGUCCUGCUUCCCCAGAGGAAGCCAGAAGAAGACCCCAGUUGCCAUGAACUCCGCCGUCACUAGCCGUGAGCACUCCACUUACUCGCCUCAGAGCAGCACCCAGAUGACGAAGUCACCAUUCUGAGAUGCUGCUGGUUUUGGGGAGCACGUUGCUCUGCUGGAACUGGGUUAUAAACUGGGGGAAGGCACCUUCCCGACCCUGAAAGCUUAUGGCCCAGCUAGGCAAAAGCAGGAAGAGGCGGCAUCUGAAAAAUAUCUCUGAUACAAGGCAGAAAAUGGCACAUGAUGCACCAGAGAUAAAGGCCACAGGCAGGUGGGGAAUCAGGAAAGGUGACGGGGGAGGAAUUUGAGCUCUUCCAAGGAGGCCGCGAGUACAAGAAGCAGGUGGUGGAGAUGGAGGGGGGCCCAGGGUGACAAAAGGCACUGAGGCAGGACCAUGGAAGCCACAUUGGGAGAAACCUGGACAAACCCACUGGGGAGAGCCAGGUGAACGGGAGUGUUAGGAAACGAGCCUAGGUCAGGUGAGCCUUGGAGGCUGGAAAGAAGGAAAGGCUGUAUUGGGUAUAGAUGGUGUCAGAGGGGGAAAGGCAUUCACCUUCCCCCAAGAAAUCCCCAGCCUUGUCAUUACUGCUCUCUGCACAUCAGUGCCGCCUCCUGCUCUGCUAGUCUGUUCCCGGGAGCUGGAGGACUGUCUCUGUAUGCCCAGGGCCACACCAGAUGACAGACCUCAACUCUACUUGUCCCUAUGUGGAACCUUCCUCCUCUGGUGGACCUCAGACAAGCCUUGUAACCUCAGGGAGCCUCAAUCUCCUCAUCUGUCAGAGGGAAGCAAUAAGAUGAUGGUAGGAUCCAUUUCCCAGAAAACUGUUUUAAAGCAGAUGCAGAAGUGGUUUCCACGACCUUCCGAUGGUCCACACUGAUAUGGACAGACCUUAGAUGAUUCAGAGAUCAUCAGACUGAACAGUCUUUGACAUUGGCUCCUGCUCUACUGGGGAAAAAAAGAGGAGUGAUGUCGUGCUCAGCUCCCAACCUAUGGCCAAGGCAGGAGGACAGAUAGGCAGCCCGGGAGUCCCGCAGCAGCUGCCUGGCCUAUGACAUCUUGGACAUCCUGCCAUGUUAUCUCUGUAUCUUCUUGGGGAUUCAGCACUUCCUCACAGCCCUGGGGGGCCUCAUGGCGGUGCCAUUCAUCCUGGCCAAGGACCUGUGCCUGCAGCAGGACCCCCUGACACAGAGCUACCUCAUCAGCACCAUUUUCUUUGCUCCAGCAUCUGCAUGCUCCUGCAAGUGUUUUUAGGGGUCAGGGGUUCUCCAGCCGGCCCAGGUUGUUCAGAUGCUGCUGACCAUGGGCAUGUUCAUCAGUGGAUUUCUGGGUUUUCUUCUAGACAACACCAUCCCCGGUAGGACUCACCUCGCUCCUGAGACUCGAAUCAUUUCUUGGUCUAGCAUCUCCAUGCUGUGGAGGAUACCCGCCCCCUUAGUAGCUGUCUUGGUGAUCAGAUUGACCGUCGAGGCACUGCAGUGCUUGUCCUCAGAACAAGAACCCAGAGCCCACCAAAGGACUGGCGUGAAAGGAGCUGUAGCACUGUAUCCGUCCCACCCUCCACUGGCACCGGAUGGCUGCCCCACAUGACAGGAAGUGUUGGUGUGACCAGACCAGCAGCCCAGGAGCCAUGGGCUAGAGUGGGGCAUUGGGACCGAAUGAGCGGUAACAUGAACAAGCUGAAACACAUUCCUGCCCAGCCUGCCAAGCUGUGGGCAGUGACACGCUCUUAUUUGCCAGACUACAAGAGAAGAUCUGUGACCCUUCUGGGGGCCCAUACCUUGGGGCUCCCCAAGCCAGAGCUGUGACAUGCUGUAACACCCUCUUGCAGCUCCACGGUUGCUGGUGUCUUUGAGUUUUCAGGCACCACGGCGUUCCCCUUGUUGGGAUGCCAGUGCCCAAGGUGGAAGCCACUUGAGGCAUACCUGGUCCAGCCACAGCCUCACAUGGUUCUGACACCUGGAGCUGCCUGCCCUUCUGCAGCAGCUGGUGCACCUGGCUCUGUGGUGUGGCUGGACCCUGUGCUCACUCACACACCUCCCACUACUCCGCGCCUGGCUCACCCAUGAUGGGAAUGGGAUCUGGGCCAGUAGUGCAAGCUGAGGACAGCCUGCUGGGCUGAGUAGGCAGAGCCAGCCCAGCAGUUGUGAGCAAAACUUGGUCAGAGGCGCCACUGGUCACAGAAGUUUCUGGCUGGUGAAGUGGCACUGAAAGAAUCCUGUGUGACUUUGCUCAUCUCAGUUACUCAUUCUGUGGCCACAUCUCAGACUAGCCUUGGGGAUUCCCAGUAGCUGUGCCUGCAAUCCUCAAUUUCAAGCAGUUGUCUGACCACCACCUCCUAUUUUUCCAGCUCACUACUUCUAGUCCCCCAAGUCUAAUAACUCUUUAAUUGGCCAGGAUCUGAAUCUACCGUCCUCCCACCUUCCGCUGGUCCCCUCUUCCCUCCUUGAGCAACCUCAAUGCCACAGUCAGUCAUAAUAACCACCUUCUCGCAUUUGCAACGCCCUUAGUCUGCUCUCUUCUUUACACUCUCUUGGCAAAACCUGAACGCUGAUGAGAAAUAACUCUUCACUCUGCACCUGCACUCGUGCAGUUGAGCAUCUCUGGGGAAAACAUACAGUUGAAUGGAGUGGUUUUAGAUUCAGACCCUGAACUUCACGGGAUCCUCAGUGCCGCCUGGCAGGCAGGAACCCUUUCCCAAGCACACUGCUCUCUCUGCUAAAACUCUUUCCACCUCUGUCUUCUUCUUCUUUUUUUUUUUUUUUUUUUGAACUUCACGGGAUCCUCAGUGCCGCCUGGCAGGAAGGAACCCUUUCCCAAGCACAAGGCUCUCUCUGCUAAAACUCUUUCCACCUCUGUCUUCUUCUUCUUCUUUUUUUUUUUUUUUUUUUUUGAGACGCUCACUGUCACUCUGGCUGGAGUGUAGUAGUGCGAUUACAGAUCACUGCAGUCUUGACCUCUGGGCUCAAGGGAUCCUCCUGUCUCAGCCUUCCGUGUAGCUGGGGCUACAGGCAUGUGCCACCGCACUCUGCUAAUUUUUUAAAAAAUACUUUGUGGAGACAGAGUCUUGUCAUGUUGCCCAGGCUAGUCUUGAACCGCUCGGCUCGAGCAGUCCUCCAGCCUUGGCUUCCCAAAGUGCUAGGAUUACAGACAUGAGCCACCAUACCCAACCUCAGCUUCUUAUUUCAGAGAAAUCUGUAAAGGAGUAAUCAGAUGAGAAACUGUGCAAACACCUGCAUGUCUCCACUCCUAGCUUUGGUGCCCCUUGACUCUCCCUCCUGUUGGGUGAAUGAGCUGCCUGGCUCCUCCCUGAAGCUGGUUCCUCCCCUUGUGCUCCAGAGCCCAUUCCCUGAUUUCUAUUCAAGGGUUUCACUGCGACAAGUCUCCUAUCUUGCAUCAAGUUUUCUCUUUCUUUCAGUAACGCAUGUCAGCAUACACACCUGCUGUUAUUUCUGCUAUCUUAAAAAAAGAUUUUUUUUCUUAAAAAGAGACUUUUGUGAGUGUGUGCCAUGGUAGGCUUAAAGUAACAGGGUCCCGCCCAUCUAACAUGCUGUAAUAAAUGUGCUGGAGCUGAGGACCUGCGCUUAGCUGCUCCAGGAGUCCUGGAUGCCUCUCAUACCAGUCAAGAGCAGGCCCAUCCUCUUUCCUUACCCUACUGCUUCUGUGCCCACAGAAGCCCUUCACAUCCUGUCUCAUUCUGCCCUUUGUUCCUUUUCCUUUGGUUGACAGCUCCAGGACUUCAGAACAUUCCCUAUGUUCUCACCAAACAGCUGCCAGGCAGCCAGGCUCAGUUUUCCAAGUGGGUUUUCCUGUACUUUAUUUUCGUAUCGUGCUGUCCCCAGGCAGCCAAAGCAGGAUGAACAGCAGGAGAAGAGAGCCAGGCCCUCUCCUGGAACAGCCUCCUGGUCUUCCCUCAGCUGUACUUUUUUUUAUUGUCAGAACACGUAGUUUCAGAGCUUCAGGAACAAGGCAGCUUUGUGAGAAGCAUAUGCAAGAAGGGACAGAUUUCUGACAUUUCCAUAAAAGCACAAAGGCUUGUUUUGUUCAGAAUCAAGGUUGGAGAAGUAGCUGGUGGAUAAGAAGUAAUUGACGAGAUGGGCUUGGGGUAAUUAGCUUGAUUCAAUUAGCAUGAGGUGGAACUGAGUUACCCAAGCUAGAUGUCAGCUCAGCCCAGCCACCACCCGCCCACACCAUCUGCACUCAAUAAGCAUUUAUCUGUUGGAGCUUUUUCUGCACAUUCCAAGGUCGCUAUCAGAAUCUGAAUCCCCUGUUCUGAUAAUGCAGUGCCUAGAGCCACGGCCUCGCAGCUUCCCUCCUUCACCUCCAAUCUUGCUUCUUCCCGCCUCCACUUGACCUCCCAUGAUCCCCCUCCCAGUCAUCACCUAGAGGUGAUGCACAGAGUGGCCGACAGAGUGAACUCCAAGGGCUGGCUUCACAUUCCUACAUCCUAAUUCUUUAGAGGCAGGGCUUUUUUGUGACUUUAAACAACAAAAUUGUUCCCCAUUCAUUAACUUAUUGGGGAUAAAAAGAGUUAGAGGUGAGGUGAUCUGAGAUUCUUCUAUUAAAUGGUUUGGGGCUUCAGUUAAAUCAUUGUUUCUUCAUCUGUCAAAUGGCAGUAAUAACAGAGGCCCAACCUCCACAGGGAGCUGCUAUAACAACAACAACAUAAAAAUCCCCAAGGGGUACCCGUGAUGUUGGUUUCAUGUGUCAAGCUGGCCAAGCUAUAGUAUCCAGUUAUCUAAUCAGGCACUCCUUUAGGGGGUGUUGUGAAGGCAUUUUAUAGAUGUGGUUAACAAACCAGUCCACUUUAAAUUAAGAAGAUUGCCCUUGCUGAUGUGAUUGGGGCUCACCAUCCAUUAGCUGAAGGCCGUAAGAACAGAACUGAGGUUUCUGGGAGGAGACAUUCUUUCAAGACUGCACUGCCAACUCCAGCCUGAGUUUCCAGCCUCCUGGAAGCCCUACAGAUUUCAGACAUGCAGUCCCCACAAACAGAUAAACCAAUUUCUUAAAAUAAAUCUCGGUGUCUCUAUAUCGUAUUGGCACUGUUUUUCUGCAGAACUCUGAUUGCUACAGUACUGACUGAUAUAGGAAGAUACCUUCCCGAUACAAGUCCUUGGUGGGGAGGAAGGGAGAUUGAGAACCACGUGAAGGUAGUUUUAUGCAAUAACUCCAUCCCAGGCUAUGCCAAUACCCAAGGCUGCAGGAGAGAAGCAGAGGGCUGUUGGGCUCACAACCCAGCACAAGGUUGUGGGGGGAAGGGACACCUCCACAUCCUGCUGAGGUCCUCUCUGACUAGGGGCUGCUGGCAGGUAUGGCUCAAGGAAUGAAGUCGCAGCCUUGGACUAAAUAGGAUCAGGGUGGAGCUUGGUACAAAGAGGGAGGGGCUGGCUAGCACUGGCAUACAUUGCUUGAGGGCCUACUAUGUGCACGCCCCUCUGUAAAGCUGCAUUUCUUCUUUCCCACACAGCUGGCUUGGUGAGCCUCUAGGGGUGGCCAACCUGAGCUCCUGCAUUCCUGUCUUUCCAGCAGGAGUUCAAGCUGCCCCUGAGCACAAAGGCCCUUCCUGCCCAGCUCCUGGAGAGCCUCCCUCUGCCCACUCGGUGCGGUGAUUUGUAAGCUGUGAAGGGCUUGCGAAGCUCCUAUCCCUGCACACCCCGGGGGAAGUCCUUGAGUGCGGGCUCAUGCAUCUCAGGACUGCUUUGGAGUCACACAGGACUGGGUCUGGGUCCUAAGACUUAGCCGGUGUUUCAGACUCUCGCUAGGAGAUAACACAGUCCAAGCCUUUGGGAGGGCCUCAGUGCAGGGGAGGGGCUGCUAUGAUGCCUUGAAAACUGUAAAGAGCCAUGCAAGCCCAUUCUCCCCGCACACCCUGCAUUAGUCUGGGUUCUCCAGAGAAAUAGAGCCAAUAAGAUGUGUAUAUACGUAGAUACAGAGAAAGAGAGAGGUGAAAUAUUUAUUUUAAGGAAGGGACCCAUGCAGUUGUGGAGGUGCAAGUCUAAAAUCUGCAAGGCGGGCCGGCAGGCUGGGAAGAGCCGCAGUUCAAGUCCAAAGUUGGACUGCUGGCAGGAUUCCCUCUUUCUCCCGGGAGGUCGGUCUCUUUCGAUUCAGGCCUUUAACCUAUAGGAAGCAUUCUGAGGAUCAUCUGCUUUACUGGAAGUCUCCUGACUUAAAUGUUAAUUUCAUUAACAAUACCUUCACAGAAACAUCUAAAAUAAUGUUUGACCAAAUUCCUGGGUAUCACAGACUAGCCAGGUUGACACAUAAAAUUCACCCUCACCCCCAGUGUCCAAGCCCAGGUACACGUAUGCACCCUUUGCCCAGAAGCCUCACCAGAAAGCCCUCGGAACCCUCGGACCUCACUGUAGCUCCUGUUCAGGUGACUUUAUUACCAGGAGCAGCAGAUGAAUCUGGUUCCACCCAGCUGUCCUGUGGCACAGGGUUGAGGUCAGCACUGCCCCUGGCUCUCAGAGUGUGCAGGAUGAGCAGGUGGGCUGUGGAACUCUCUAGAACCCAUCAGGGCAAUGCCCUGUGCCCAGGACAUGCUGAAAGUACCUGGUGUUAUGUCACCUCCGAGGACAGAUCCUGCCUGUCCUCCUUGAAAGGCCCAUGGCCUGGGCCCCAGCUGUACUUUCUACCCCCUUAAUAGGAGCACAAUAGCAGCAGGCCAGCCCUUUGUGCCAAACAGUCCCUAAAGACCAACACGAGGCCGUGCUUCUCUUAUACUUUAUAAUAAUCAGAAACUAAAAUCAUCAAAAUGCUUCUGGAACAACCCACUCCAAAGAGUCCUGGAGGCCAAGGCAGGUGCAACCUUAGCUGCCAGCAUUCAACCUUGGGAACUGCCCACCUCAUUCAGUCCCUCCCCUCGCAGCUCCUCUUCUGCAUUACAAAUCUUCAUCGUCAAAGGUCUCUGUGCACUGCAACAUGAUCAUCUCUUCAUCAACGGGAAAGGAUGCUUCCUGCAAGACACAGGGUGGAAGAGGGUCACUUUUUAUCUGUGGGUCUUGGGCCCGAGGCAGAUAGGAAGGCUCCUGCAUCUCCGGUGUGCCCAGCCCCCAGACUCUAUCCUACGUCUCUUCCGCUGCAUUUUCACCUCCAGCUUGGGCCAGGAAGCAAGGGCUCUAAGGGGGGAAGGUCCCAUUUCCAUUUCACUCAACUCAGCAUUCUAUGACCUCCAGAAAGGACACAGCAGAACUGGCUUCUUUUUUAUCCUGGGGAUUUCCAGGUUCCCACAAGAGAGACAGAGGACCUCAUAAGGCUUUAUCCAAAUGCUCAUCAAUAGAAGACGGUGCACUGCACCACGGUGCUCCCACCAAUGAAACACCAUGCAGCUCAUUUCCAACAAAAAUAAUGAGACAGCGUGCUCUCUGUGGGAUACACUAUUUACAAAGGGCAAAGUGCAAAGCAAUGUGUACCGUAGGCUACUACUAUUUGUGUUUGAAAGAAUAUAUAAUAUCUGUAGAAUAUCUUUGGAUGAGUGUACAAGAAACUGGUCACUGUAGUUGCCUCUGGGGGAGGGUAUGGGGUAGGAAGCAAGGAAGAGAGAGAGACUAAGUGUCCAUUGUAUAUCUUUUGGUAACUUGUAAAUUUUAUGCCAUGUAUAUGGGUUACCUAUUAGGAGAUGAUAUUUUUUUAAGCAGCAGCACUGCAGCUGGUCAUGAUGGCUCAAUGCCUGUAAUCCCAGCACUUUGGGAGGCCAAGGCAGGCGGAUCACCUGAGGUUAGGAGUUCGAGACCAGCCUGGCCAACAUGGCGAAAUGCUGUCUCUACUAAAAAUACAAAAAAAUUAGCUGGGCAUGGUGGUGUGCGCCUGUAAUCCCAGCUACUCGGGAGGCCAUGGCAUGAGAAUCACUUGAACCUGGGAGGCAGAGGUUGCAGUGAUCCAAGAUCACACCAUGACUACACACCAUCCUGGGUGAAAAAAAAAAGCAGCAGCACUGUUUGCUUAGCAAGGGUUUCUCAGUCCCUAAAGGGACACUGUAAACAGUGAUCCCAGCCAACACCUCAGGACUCUCCAUGACUUCUUCCUCUAAAAAUAUGUUCCUGAGGCUUUGCUCCUUCUGUCUGUCUCCAUCCUAGCAGAAAAUGACCCCUGUAACUUGUCAGCCCUGCAGAUCAGAGUUGAUCCCCAUGGAACCAGGUGGCAUCCCUGACCCCAGUCAACCAUCUAAUGAAUGUGGGACCUGGUCCCAAGGGUGAUAUCCUCAUAGUGGGGACGACCUCCACAAACUGAGCCUUUCCUGCCCUGGAGAAGCAGUUCCCAUUCACCAUGCUCUCCUGAUAGGGGCAGGGAAAUAGGGAUCAAGAGUGUCAGGGAGGUGGGACCACAGUCUCCAGGCAAAUCUUGUGGGCCCCUUGUUCAGCAGGAAGACAGUGGCAGAGGUUGGGAGGAGAAUGCAACUUUUCUGUUUACACCAGAGUCUAUCAAAGCCUGAGUCCUCCUGCCCCAGAGCCACUUGGACAGCUCAUUCCAAAUGCAGAUUUCUGGGGCCCGUUCUUGCAGCACUGAGGCAUCGGGAAUCUAGGAGUGCUGAAGUUUGGCAUCUUUGCUUUGUUCUGUUGUUGUUGUUGUCUGGAGAGAGUCUCACUCUGUUGCCCAGGCUGGAGUACAGUGGCUUGAUCUCAGCUCACUGUAACCUCUGCCUUGUAGGCUCAAACAAUCCUCCCAACUCAGCCUCCUGAGUAGCUGGGACUACAGGCAUGUACCACCACACCCAGCUAAUUUUUAUAUUUUUUGUAGUGGUGAGGCUCUGCCAUGUUGUCCAGACUGGUCUUGAAAUCCUGGGAUCAAGUGAUCUGCCCACCUCAGCCUCCCAAAGUGCUGGGAUUCCAGGUGUGAGCCACUGCACCCGGCCAUACCUUUGCUUUGUAUGGAUACAAGAAUCCCUGCUUGUUAUCUUUUCUGCCAUAUAUGGAGAAGGAGGGGAGGCAAAGAUUGUCCUUUUCGUCUAUUCUCAAAGUCUUGAUAAAGUGGGCUAAUUUAACUGUAUCUGAGAGAAAGAGGGGACAACUGGUCCAGGGGACUGUCACCCAAGGAUUGGUGGGAAGGGGAGAGCAAACUGCAAGGAAGGGCUCCACAUAAGGAUUCACUGUGGUCCCAGAAGAAGGAAAUGAAGACUUAGUUGGAAAAGGGCAAGUUAUACCUUAGCCUAUUGAACAGGUGUCUUGACUAUUUUUAGACAAACAUUUGCUAUUAUUAUAACUUACCUUUUAAAUAAACAGUUGUAUUAUUGCUAAACUAGUAAAGAAAAAUCCAUGGCUAUGAAUUUGAAAGGACCUGUCCCCUUGUGGCUCAGGUAUAACCCCCCUUCUCUGACAAAAGCUUCCAGGAAUGGCCCUCCUAACCAAGAGUCCCACUGCUCAUAUCACUGUAAGUGGAACAAUUUGGAAGCAGACAUUAAUAUCCUUCAAAAGCUGACAGCAAAUAUUACCGAAGGUGAUGAAGACUGUAGAAGAUGAUGAAAUAGCCCAGCGUUUUGGGAAGGUGUCAAAGGUUCACACAACAUUUAUGAAUGCCUGCUGAGAGUCAGGCCCCUGGGAUCGGGUUCCUGCUUCAAAGGGCUCCCAGUCAAGGUCUGCCUUAGAGCAGUGGUUCCCAACCUUUAUGGCACCAGGGACCAGUUUCACGGAAGACAAUUUUCCCACAGACCUGGGGGGCAAGGGUGGUUUCAGGAUGAAACUCUUCCACCUCAGAUCAUCAGGCAUUAGUCAGAUUCUCAUAAGGAGAGAGCAACCUAGACCCCUUGCAUGAGCAGUUCAUAAUAGGGUCUGCACGCCUAUGAGAAUCUAACGCUGCCACUGAUCUGACAGCAGGCAAAGCUCAGGCUGUCAUGCUCACCCUCUGCUGUGCAGCUGUGUUCCUAGCAGGCCAUAGAUCUGUACUGGUCUGUGGCCUAGGAGUUGGGGACCCCUGCCCUAGAGGACACUUCUCUGUCUUUCCUGUUUCCCUGGCUAUCUUCCAUUCAUUCUACAGGAUGCAUCAGGCUGAAGGUGACCAUUCAUGGAGCAAGCCAGAGAGAAUGGAGAGUGUCCCUGCCCAGUGGCUCCUCAUGGUAUGAUUGGGGGAAAGGCCAGGAAACUAACCGCAGAAAAACAAAUACUGUUCCGUGACCCCAGGGAUUAGAAAAUCAGAAACCGGCCGGGCGCGGUGGCUCACGCCUGUAAUCCCAGCACUUCGGAAGGCCGAGGCGGGUGGAUCACGAGGUAAGGAGAUCGAGACCAUCCUGGCUAACACAGUGAAACCCCGUCUCUACUAAAAAUACAAAAAAAUUAGCCGGGCGUGGUGGCGGGCGCCUGUAGUCCCAGCUAUUCGGGAGGCUGAGGCAGGAGAAUGAGGUGAACCCGGGAGCCAGAGCUUGCAGUGAGCCGAGAUCGCGCCACUGCACUCCAGCCUGGGCGACAGAGCGAGACUCCGUCUCAAAAAAAAAAAAAAGAGAAAAAAGAAAAUCAGAAACCGACCUUGGGAGCCAGAAGGCAAACUGCACCUCCAACCUGCUAAAUGCAAAGCCCUGGUGUCCCCAGGCGAGGGCGAGGGUGGUUCCCGUGCCCCAUCCACGCCACCCCGGUGGGCCUGCUCACCUCCUCGGGCGUGGAGACCAGCGAGCAGCUGGCCCCCUGGCUGUCCACGCCGCUGUCCUUCACGCUGCC